rnacentral:rRNA from 1 species
GACGAACGCUGGCGGCGUGCUUAAUACAUGCAAGUCGAGCGAGGUUACUGUGACAGAUCCCUUCGGGGUGAAGUUGCUUUAACCUAGCGGCGGACGGGUGAGUAACGCGUGGGUAACCUACCCUAAAGUUCGGGAUAACAGCGGGAAACCGCUGCUAAUACCGGAUGCCUUUACCGUGUGGCAUCACAGGGUAAAGAAAGGUAACGCUUUAGGAUGGGCCCGCGUCCCAUUAGCUAGUUGGUGAGGUAACAGCUCACCAAGGCGACGAUGGGUAGCCGGCCUGAGAGGGUGAACGGCCACACUGGGACUGAGACACGGCCCAGACUCCUACGGGAGGCAGCAGUAGGGAAUAUUGCGCAAUGGACGGAAGUCUGACGCAGCGACGCCGCGUGAGCGAUGAAGGCCUUCGGGUCGUAAAGCUCUGUCCUUGGGGAAGAAGGUCUUCGGACUUGACGGUACCCAAGAAGAAAGCCCCGGCUAACUACGUGCCAGCAGCCGCGGUAAUACGUAGGGGGCGAGCGUUGUCCGGAAUUACUGGGCGUAAAGGGUGCGUAGGCGGCCCUUUAAGUCAGAUGUGAAAGCCCGCAGCUUAACUGCGGAAUUGCAUUUGAAACUGGAGGGCUUGAGUGUCGGAGAGGGUAGUGGAAUUCCCAGUGUAGCGGUGAAAUGCGUAGAUAUUGGGGGGAACACCAGUGGCGAAGGCGACUGCCUGGACGAUAACUGACGCUGAGGCACGAAAGCUAGGGGAGCAAACAGG